AUUCAUCUGACGAGUUCCGAAUAGGACAAAAUGCGCAUCCUGGAU
rnacentral:hammerhead_ribozyme from 1 species